UGCCAGCCGCCGCGGUAAUACGAACUGUGCAAACGUUAUUCGGAAUCACUGGGCUUAAAGGGUGCGUAGGCGGACUUGUAUGUCAGGUGUGAAAUCCCACGGCUCAACCGUGGAAUUGCGCUUGAAACCACUCGUCUUGAGGGGAUCAGAGGAGAGCGGAACUGAUGGUGGAGCGGUGAAAUGCGUUGAUAUUAUCAGGAACACCGGUGGCGAAAGCGGCUCUCUGGGAUAUUUCUGACGCUGAGGCGCGAAAGCGUGGGGAGCAAACAGGAUUAGAUA
rnacentral:rRNA from 1 species